UACGGGGGGGGCAAGCGUUGUUCGGAAUUACUGGGCGUAAAGGGCUCGUAGGUGGCCAACUAAGUCAGACGUGAAAUCCCUCAGCUUAACUGGGGAACUGCGUCUGAUACUGGAUGGCUUGAGAUUGGGAGAGGGAUGCGGAAUUCCAGGUGUAGCGGUGAAAUGCGUAGAUAUCUGGAGGAACACCGGUGGCGAAGGCGGCGUUCUGGACUGCAACUGACACUGAGGAACGAAAGCCAGGGGAGCAAACGGG
rnacentral:rRNA from 1 species